rnacentral:rRNA from 1 species
UGGUAGUGUAUUGGACAACCAUGGUGUUGACGGGUAACGGAGAAUCAGGGUUCGACUCCGGAGAGGGAGCCUUAGAAACGGCUACCAUGUCUAAGGACAGCAGCAGGCGCGCAACUUAUCCACUGUUCAUCGAACGAGAUAGUGACGAGAAAUAACAAGCCCGUUCUCUUUGAGGUCGGGCAUUGGAAUGGAUGGAAUGCAAACAAUUCCAUGAGUACCCACGAGAGGGCAAGUCUGGUGCCAGCAGCCGCGGUAAUUCCAGCUCUCGUAAUGUAUAGAAUUAUUGUUGCGGUUAAAAAGUUCGUAGUUGGAUUUUCUACCACUCGCAGGUCGUGCCUAACGGCGCGCACUUGUGGUGGUUUUUGCACGUUGAAUUGAUUCAUCAAUUCCGCGUGCGGAUUACUUUGAACGGCUUAAGUGCUCAAGGCGAGUCUUCGGACUGAAUACCGGUGCAUGGAAUAAUGGAACAAGGUUUCGGCCGAGUUUUAUUGGUUUUGUCGGCUGAGACAAUGGUUAACAGGAACAGCUGGGGGCACUCGUAUCGCUACGCGAGAGGUGAAAUUCGUGGACCGUAGCGAGACGCCCGAAAGCGAAGGCAUUUGCCAAGGAUGUUUUC